rnacentral:rRNA from 1 species
GAUGAACGCUGGCGGCGUGCCUAAUACAUGCAAGUCGAGCGAACGGACGAGAAGCUUGCUUCUCUGAUGUUAGCGGCGGACGGGUGAGUAACACGUGGAUAACCUACCUAUAAGACUGGGAUAACUUCGGGAAACCGUAGCUAAUACCGGAUAAUAUUUUGAACCGCAAGGUUCAAAAGUGAAAGACGGUCUUGCUGUCACUUAUAGAUGGAUCCGCGCUGCAUUAGCUAGUUGGUAAGGUAACGGCUUACCAAGGCAACGAUGCAUAGCCGACCUGAGAGGGUGAUCGGCCACACUGGAACUGAGACACGGUCCAGACUCCUACGGGAGGCAGCAGUAGGGAAUCUUCCGCAAAGGGCGAAAGCCUGACGGAGCAACGCCGCGUGAGUGAUGAAGGUCUUCGGAUCGUAAAACUCUGUUAUUAGGGAAGAACAUAUGUGUAAGUAACUGUGCACAUCUUGACGGUACCUAAUCAGAAAGCCACGGCUAACUACGUG